UGCUUGGUGGAUCAGUGGCGAACGGGUGAGUAACACGUGAGCAACCUGCCCUGGACUCUGGGAUAAGCGCUGGAAACGGCGUCUAAUACUGGAUAUGAGACGUGAUCGCAUGGUCGUGUUUGGAAAGAUUUUUCGGUCUGGGAUGGGCUCGCGGCCUAUCAGCUUGUUGGUGAGGUAAUGGCUCACCAAGGCGUCGACGGGUAGCCGGCCUGAGAGGGUGACCGGCCACACUGGGACUGAGACACGGCCCAGACUCCUACGGGAGGCAGCAGUGGGGAAUAUUGCACAAUGGGCGGAAGCCUGAUGCAGCAACGCCGCGUGAGGGAUGACGGCCUUCGGGUUGUAAACCUCUUUUAGCAGGGAAGAAGCGAAAGUGACGGUACCUGCAGAAAAAGCGCCGGCUAACUACGUGCCAGCAGCCGCGGUAAUACGUAGGGCGCAAGCGUUAUCCGGAAUUAUUGGGCGUAAAGAGCUCGUAGGCGGUUUGUCGCGUCUGCUGUGAAAUCCCGAGGCUCAACCUCGGGCCUGCAGUGGGUACGGGCAGACUAGAGUGCGGUAGGGGAGAUUGGAAUUCCUGGUGUAGCGGUGGAAUGCGCAGAUAUCAGGAGGAACACCGAUGGCGAAGGCAGAUCUCUGGGCCGUAACUGACGCUGAGGAGCGAAAGGGUGGGGAGCAAACAGGCUUAGAUACCCUGGUAGUC
rnacentral:rRNA from 1 species